ACCAGAAAAGGAAAGCGUUUAUACAUCAGCAGACAAAGGAGUAUGCUUGUAAAUGAUCACAUACCCACACGCACGCACGCACACACACACACAUACAUACAUGCGCGCAGAACGCUGCAGAGAGCUGUGCGAUCCGGUGUGCGUCAGGAGUCAUUGAGAAGCGCCUCCAUCCAUCUGAGAGAGAAACAGAGAGAGAGAGAGAACGCGCCUCCUUCCGUCUGUGUAUGUGAGAGAGGGAGGCAGGGAGGGAAAGAGAGAGAAAGAAGACGCGGAGAGAGGCAUCUACCCGGAGAACAACGGUCCCUCACCUUAACGAUGAUUUAACGAGUGGAUUCUUCCAUCGCAGCAAGAAACAUUGAAGACAAAGGACAGCGAUCUGCGCAGGAGGUACGCAUAGUUUUGUUAGUACGGAUUUGUGCCAGUUUCUGUCUCAGCAGCAUUGGACACAGUAUGGAAGCCAACCCUGGAUAGGGAGCCAGACCAUCAUAAGACACACUCACAUAUUCUAUACAAAACAAUUUAAUUAUUUAUGUGACGGGGAAUAUGCUAACUUCACACAGACUGCACCCAAAAUUCAGAAUUUGAACCCUGGAUUCUUGAGCUGGGUAGGGACCUAUAUCUUAUAAUUUCUUAAUUAGGGUUUUUAAUUUUUCAUUUACUUAUUUUGGAUGGCACCAAUGGGCAAUAAGAGUUUUCACAUUGUUUAAUGGUACGCAGUGGUGCAAAGCCAACCCCGUUAAUUAUUGAUUUUCACUGUAAAAACACUACCAGUAGCCUAGAGCAUACUGAAACAUAAUCUAUCCAAAAAUAAAAACUGUUCAUAGACCAUUUUCAAGAUAUAUAAUUAAGACAUUUGGGUGAGCUUUUUGAUUUAAUCUCCACUGCUGAUUCACAAUGUGACCCUCUCUCAAUUUGUAUAUAGAUAUGUAAAAUACUUUAUGAUAGUUUUCAUGAUUAAAUAUAGAAAACAAAAGGCAUGAUAUUUGGUAGUCUACUGACCCAAAAGACAGACUUAAUUUGAAUUUGGCAUAACAUUCUAUUGUGGAACAAAACAGACACAGUGGUUAACAUUGCUGCCUUACAGUUUCUGGAACCUGGUUUCCAUUCCUGUUGAAAAUAGGUCCAGUGUCCACAUAGGUUUCCAGUGGGCACUCUAAUUUCCUCCCACAGACUUAUAAUGAUAACAGGAGACUCUAAAUUGGCCUGAAAUGAGAGAAAGUAAGGAUAUUGUGGUAUUCUAUCCAGGGCUGGGUUCUGUGUUACAUUUGUUGCUGCUGAAUUUGGCUGCAUUUCCCUGUGAACCUGUAAAGAAAGAAAAAAAAUUAAAAAUAGAUUUGUGAAUAGAUACAAUUCUAUCCCUGAGUUCCACAGCCAAACAAAAAUUAUUUUUGACGUAACUCUUUUGUCACAAAUUCUCAGUGUUUCAGUAAACAAAAUACAAAUAAAAAACUGACAGUAAUUUGUAUAAUCCCAGAAUUGCAUAACUGACAGCAGCUCUGUCAGGGGAAAAAACUUCACAUGGCUCCAUCCCAGGGCCCUGCCCCUUUGAUCCCACCUCUAGACUAUUAAACUAUAGCAACCUCAGAGGCUUUUGCAUGUCCUCUCCCACAAACCCCCCCCCCCCCCCCACCCCCAGCCCAGCCUUAGAGCCCACGCUCACCCCACCUUAUCUCGCAAUGCGCUUAUGCCAGCAUGCAGGCAGCACAGCAACUGUGAAGCAACUGCUGUUUUUUUCUUUUUUCAUAUUUCUUCUGUUUCUCUCCAUUUUUUAAUUUUUUAACCAAAAGACAAAUGUAGCAUUUGACUCUAGCAAUAGUCUUCCUAGACGAAUAUACUGUGUUCACGCAUCUCAUGAAUUAAACAGCAAUCUGCUCACUUAUGAUUUGUAUAAUAAAAGAAAAAAAAAAGAUGAAGUGUUGUGUGCUUGUUGACUAAGAUUGUGGGGUUGAUUUCUAAUUCCAGGAGGCCAAGCUAAAAGGAAACUGCUCAGACUCUGCUUCACACGAUAGCGGCAAGGUUUUCAUCCACAGUGAGGAAGACAUAACCAAUUUAUAGGUUUUGAGGUCUUAAUCAAUGUACAAGAUAAGGAUUGGGGUAGGGACUCAUGAAUUCUCCAUAGACCAAGGAGCAUAUAUCAGGCUUCACAUGGUUAUCUUUCAUGCAUGGUAAGCUCCACGGUGUAAGUGAAGUGCAAUCUCAAGCAAUUUAUUUUUCUGGAUUUUUCCAGUCUGACCUUCAAUGAUGCAGAAGGAGAAAUAAAGUAUCUCUCUUUCUUGGUACUGGGUGGGGGGCCAUUUGCCUUGCACUGAGUCCUUAUGUAAUAGUAAUCCAAAAGUUACCAAUGUCUUCCCUUUACAGUCUGAUCCACCCCAACCCCCUUCACCUGAAAUGCCCCAUUAUUUACUCCUUCUUUGCCUUUGUACAAGGAAAAACACUGAGAAAGAAGGCCAGGAUGCCAGUCUAUGCAACUGUACUUACAUAACCCUGAAGUUCUCACUUAACCUACUAGUGCUCUAAUCCUGGAAAAUAUGUAUUUAUACCAUAAAUAUUGAUUUCUAAGUCACUUUGGAUAAAUACUUUUGCAUUUACAUUUUUAGUAUAUGUACCAGCUACACAGUGUCAGAACCCAGUUACUAGUAUUAAUCAGGAGCCAUAAACGGAGACAAGAUUAGCAAAGCGUGGAUUAACCUGAACAGCCAUUUAGACCAUUGACCCUUUGUUGUGGAAUUAUAAUAGUUCAUGAUUCACCAUAUGCUUCAAUAAAAGUUGUUAAAUUGAAGUCCUGGCACAUCAAAUUCCAAUUAGCCAUUAUUUCUCCACUGGGGUUUUAGAUUUGUGUUUUGUGCCAUUUGGGGUUCUUGUCAAGACACUAAAAAGUACAAAAAAGGGUAGUAGGGAAUUUCUCAUUUGGGAAUAACCAAGAAUCUGAGCUGGCAACAGCAUCUAAGAAAUUGACAUAAACAUGAACCAACUCAUCUCAAAGUAGUACCUCUGCU